rnacentral:lncRNA from 1 species
CAAAAAUCGAUUCCAGGUGAGAAGGCGAUCAAUAAAACCGUUUUUGUCCUGUUCAACCUGUACAUAACUGCACCUUCCAUUUUUUGUUGUUUUCGUACUGCUUAAAGGCACGUUUCUUUCCUGCCAAGCUUACUGUUUAAACCAUGUUUAUGUUCUCCCAGUCAACAGCUUUAUCAUUAUUGGUAUUUUAAACUCUUCGGUUGCAUAUUUGUGUGAAUAAAAUCAUUUUUCUUUGGAAUAGAAAAAAGUCUAUCUUCAUUUCUUCUUUUGCUGGUGUCUCAAAUCUAGGUUUCUCAAAGGGGAGGCCUAUGGGACGGUCGGACAAGUUGUUUUGAGAAAAUUUCGUUUAAAUGUUUGACAACUCAGCACCGUCUAUUAGACGGGGGGGGGGGGCGUUUUGCUCGUAUAUAUAUAUAUGUAUGAUAGUUGUUUAAUCCUUAUGCAGCGUCUGACCACCUCCUGUACCUACUACACAUUAGAUCCAUUAUGGCGUCUGAUGUGGCUUUUUAUACCAAACAAUGUAUUGAAAAGACGACAUAAAUCACCAAGAGCUACUGUUAAGUUCUGAUCUUUGUGGAUCUUAAAAUGACUUUUGAGGCCUCCAUUAGAUCUGCAGACCUUAUGGCAUACACGGCAUUGAGAGGUGUGCACAGAUAUAUAGGCAGAAUUGUUGGUGCGGUUCGUUUUUCACGGACUCGCAAAUGAGAUUUGAGUCUAGGAAAAGAAAGGCAUGGUCUGUCACAAACUGUGCACACAAAAAUGUCUCUGAAAUUCACCUUUUCGAUCAUAAGAUUCUUCUUAAAAUCUCUCUCGAGUCUUGCAUGUGUUAUCCUGGCUUCCUCAAACGCUUUCACUCCACACUUUUGUUUGCUAUCCAGCUUGAUCCGAAGCAAGGGUUUCUAUGGCCUUUGGGCCCAUUCGAAGUGACUUCAUGGUGGUUCUUAUGCCGUCUUUAAACCUCUUUUUAGGUUUACAUCGAUUGCAAUUUCCAUCUGAAAUCUCGCUAUAAAACAGUUGUUUGGAUGUGCGUUCAUUCACCAUUCGAAAAAUAUAGCCAGACCAUCUCAUUUGGUUUCUCGGAAUCAUUGAUUUAAUUGAAGUGAUGUCUGCAGAUACAAAGACAUCUGUCCCAUUUAAUAUUUAAAAUGCGGUGACGUUAUUUUUGGUGGAAUCGUUCUAACAAUUUGAAAUGUCUUUCAUAACACGUCAACGUUUCAGAAGAAUGCAAAGAGCCAAUUUUGCGUUGACAUUUAUAUAUCGUUGGCGAAAAAUGCGUGAUGUAAUUGAAGUGAUGUCUGCAGAUACAAAGACAUCUGUCCCAUUUAAUAUUUAAAAUGCGGUGACGUUAUUUUUGGUGGAAUCGUUCUAACAAUUUGAAAUGUCUUUCAUAACACGUCAACGUUUCAGAAGAAUGCAAAGAGCCAAUUUUGCGUUGACAUUUAUAUAUCGUUGGCGAAAAAUGCGUGAAUCUAAACCACCAAAUGCUUGUGCUACCCUGUGAAUUCGCAAAUGUAUUUUUGUGUCCAGAUUUCCAUCAUUUUCUACAGAGCUUCCAAGGUAGAUGAAAGAGUCAACAACCUCAAGAUCUUGAGGUUGUUGACUCUUUCAUCUACCUUGGAAGCUCUGUAGAAAAUGAUGGAAAUCUGGACACAAAAAUACAUUUGCGAAUUCACAGGGCUCGAUUCAUUCGACAAAAAUUCUCCAAGGCGGUUCCCCAGCAUGGCCGUAGCUUUCGAGCUGAAACUAUUUAAGGGGCUAAAUAUAUAUAUAUAUAUAUAUAUAUAUGCAGAGAGAGAGAGAGGUGGGGUGACAUCUGGAAAGUAUUUCCAAGCAACACAUCUACGAGGGUAUACAAUGAACUCUGAACUGUAUUCAGUGGUAUAUACUUUUUUAUAUAGACUCACUGAAAAGACACGCAUAUGUAUAUAUAUAUAUAUAUAUAUAUAUAUAUAUAUAUAUAUAUAUAUAUAUAUAUACAUACACAAACACACAUAUAUAUAUGUAUAUACUAUAUAUAUAUACAUAUAUUUAUAUUUAUAUAUAUAUGUAUAUAUAUAUAUAUAUAUAUAUAUAUAUAUAUAUAUAUAUAUAUAUAUAUAUAUAUAUAGCUGUAUGUAUUAUACACAUUACACACACACAUGCACAGAUAUACACGUACAUACAUACAAACAUACAUACAUACAUACAUACAUACAUACAUACAUACAAACAUACAUACAUACAUACACACAUACAUACAUACGUACAUACAUACGUGCGUACAUACAUGCACACAUAUAUAAAUACAUACUAUAUAUACACUCGUGUCCAAAGAAAGGGUAUCGGCAAGUAUACUAUGUCAAAACAAAAUGUCAAAAUAUUUAGUUAUAUCUAAACUAUCGUAUGUAAUUCUAGGGAACAGCUGUUGUCGUUGUCGCCAUCGUCGUCGUCGUCGUAGCCGUCGCCGUCGUCGCUGUGGUCAUCGUUGUCGUGGUUAUUGUUGUUUGCUGUUGUCUUAGUGCUAGUGAUGAGAGCAUUGCCGUUGUUGGUGUUGUGGUGGUAUCGACAAUUGUGGCGGUGGUAGUACAGCAACAGAAUUGGAUGAUGUUAACGGUGUUGUUGUGGUACUGAUUGGGGAUAGUAGUGUUCGCGAUGGUAGUGAGGGUACCUGUAGUUUCGGUAAUAAUGUUUGAAACCAGUUGGCUCAUAUUUAAAAUAUUUACGAGGCUUCGAGAAACAGUAGACACUGCGUCCAAAUAAACAAAAGAUGGUCAAUUUUGCGAUCACUAUAGUUGCUUGUCGACAUCGGCAUGUGUGUAUGUGUGUGUGUGUGUGUGUGUGUGUGUCUAUCUAUCUUAUAUAUAUAAAUAUAUAUAAAGGGUGCGUAAGGUAUUUGAGGACAUACAUUUUGGGGGAUAUUGCUACAUUUUUUGCUAACUGUGUAUAAUCUUUGUUUCAGAAAAUAAUAAUGGCAGACUUUCGGCUUACUCAAGAAAUGAAGUGGCAUGUUGUUAUUGUGGUUAUAAAGGCUGAACAUAACGAUUUAGAAAUAUCUCGAUUUUUAAAAGUUGCUAGUUCUUUCGUCUACAAAGUUUGUAAGGAGUUAGAGACUGAAGACGGAAACGUAUUACCAAUAUCAAAGCAUGAAAAGCAUUAUAAACGCUCUGAAAUCAUCGGAACACUUGAAUUUAUCCAACAAGUUCAAUAGACCAUUGAUUACAUUCCCAGAAAGUCCAUGCGGUUAACUACAAAAUAUCUCCAUAUAUCAGAAAGAACAGUCAGAAAUGUUGUCCAUGAAGACAUCAGAAAGAACAUUCAUAAAUGUUGUCCAUAAAGACAUCUUAUAUGAUGAGGAAAGGUCAAUUUGUCAGACAAAGCAAAAUAAAAUCACUACAUCAGAUCUAAAAGGCUCUUAAACAAACUAAAAAAUCUAGCAGAAGAAGAUUUGAUUUAGUUAUUCUCAAACGAGAAAAAAAUUCGACCAAAAUCAAAAAUUUAACAGAAGAAAUGACAGAUGGCUACGUGCAGGCCCUUCUGAAGUUCCAAGUGUUAUGCAUACAAAAUAUCCAGCAACUGUCAUGGGUUUAGAGAUUGUCAGCAAUGAAGAACAUGUGAAGCCUCCUUACUUCUUUCCACAAGGCCUUAGAGUUAACUCUGCUGCCUAUGCCGAGGUCCUGGAAAUAAUUGUUAAUCCCUGGAUAGACAGUGUAUGCAAUGGAAAGCCAUAUAUGUUUUUAUAAGAUUCUGCACUAUCACACAUGGCUUUAGCAACACAGGAAUGAAUGGCUGAAAAUGUUCAUGAUCACAUAACCCCUAACAUUUGGCAUCCUAAUUCCCCAGAUCUCAAUCCAUUGGACUAUUACAUGCGGAGCGUUGUUGAGAGAGAAAGGCCAAUGAACACGGCCGUAACACCUAAUAUUCUUUGAAAGCUGCCAUAGCCAGAAUAAUGUCCAAAAUGAACCAAGACCACUUGAUUCGGGCAUGUAGAUGAUAUAGAUAACAUAUCGAAACAGUUGUUGAUGCUGAAGGUAGCUUUAUUGAAUAACAUUAUAGAAAGGAUGGUUUACUUUUAUCCACAUAGCAUUUUUUAAUAAAUAAAGUUAUUAUCUGUUAUUACAUAUCUAUUUCAUAUAAACAUAAAUCUGUC